rnacentral:rRNA from 1 species
UUAAGAAUAUUGGACAAUGGGGGAAACCCUGAUCCAGCCAUACCGCGUGUGUGAAGAAGGCCUUAGGGUUGUAAAGCACUUUAAGCAGUGAGGAAGAAUAUUGAACUAAUAAUUUGAUAUUUUGACAUUAGCUGCAGAAUAAGUACCGGCUAACUCCGUGCCAGCAGCCGCGGUAAUACGGAGGGUACAAGCGUUAAUCGGAAUUACUGGGCGUAAAGCGCGCGUAGGCGGUUAAGUAAGUUGGAUGUGAAAGCCCCGGGCUCAACCUGGGAACUGCAUUCAAAACUAUUUGACUGGAGUGCGAGAGAGGAGAGUAGAAUUUCUGGUGUAGCGGUGAAAUGCGUAGAUAUCAGAAGGAAUACCAAUGGCGAAGGCAGCUCUCUGGCUCGUCACUGACGCUAAGGUGCGAAAGCGUGGGUAGCAAACAGG